AACGCACAUUGCACUCUCUGGUAUUCCGGAGAGUAUGCUUGUUUGAGUAUCAGUAAACACCUCAAAUCUCUACUUUAUUGUAAAGAAUUGGACUUGAGCAAUCCCAACUUUCGCAAGAGAGGCGGGUUGCUUGAAAUGCAGGUGCAGCUAGACAUUCUUCUGAGCUAAAAGCAUAUUUAUUUAGUCCCGUCAAACGGAUUAUUACUUUUGCUCUAGCUAAUAUAAAGGUCGAAUGCGCUACAAUGCUGACUGAUGCAGGAUUCACAAAGCCUUUCUGGUUUUGUAAACUCGAUCUCAAAUCAAGUAAGACUACCCGCUGAACUUAA
rnacentral:misc_RNA from 1 species